ACAUACACAGAUAAUUAGAGAACCCUAAUGGUCAAUUAGAAACCCUAAUUGAUGGCGUUAAGAAACCCUAAUUAGAAAAUCCUAAUUUUCUAUAGAAAACCCUAAUUUAAAUUACCGGGUUUAAUUACGAUGUUAUUGUAUAAAUGUUUUAAUUUACCAAAGGAUAGAAAUUAAUUGGUAAAUGGUAAGAAUUAUAAUCUAAUGGUUAAAUAUUACAUUUAAUUGCUAUGUACAAAAAUGCCCAUGAAAUUAUAUG
rnacentral:lncRNA from 1 species